rnacentral:rRNA from 1 species
UACAUGCAAGUCGAACGCAGUAGCAAUACUGAGUGGCAAACGGGUGAGUAUAAUGUGGGUAUCUGCCUUUUGGUUUGGAAUAACAUGAGGAAACUUGUGCUAAUACCGGAUAAGCCUUCACAGGGAAAGUUUUAUACGCCGAAAGAUGAGCCCGCACUUGAUUAGUUUGUUGGUGAGGUAAUGGCUCACCAAGACAAUUAUCAAUAGCUGGUCUGAGAGGACGAUCAGCCACAUUGGGACUGAGACACGGCCCAGACUCCUACGGGAGGCAGCAGUAAGGAAUCUUGCACAAUGGGGGAAACCCUGAUGCAGCGAUGCCGCGUGAGUGAAGAAGGCCCUUGGGUUGUAAAACUCUUUCGUCGGGGAAGAAAAUGACUGUACCCGAAUAAGAAGGUCCGGCUAACUUCGUGCCAGCAGCCGCGGUAAUACGAAGGGACCUAGCGUAGUUCGGAAUUACUGGGCUUAAAGAGCUCGUAGGUGGUUAAAAUAGUUGAUGGUGAAAUCCCAAGGCUCAACCUUGGAACUGCCAUCAAAACUUUUUAGCUAGAGUGUGAUAGAGGAAAGUGGAAUUUCUAGUGUAGAGGUGAAAUUCGUAGAUAUUAGAAAGAACACCAAAUGCGAAGGCAACUUUCUGGGUCACUACUGACACUGAGGAGCGAAAGCAUGGGUAGCGAAGAGGAUUAGAUACCCUCGUAGUCCAUGCCGUAAACGAUGUGUGCUAGACGUUGGAAAUAUAUUUUUCAGUGUCGCAGCGAAAGCAUUAAGCACACCGCCUGGGGAGUAC